rnacentral:rRNA from 1 species
CCUACGGGAGGCUGCAGUGGGGAAUAUUGGGCAAUGGGCGCAAGCCUGACCCAGCAACGCCGCGUGAAGGAAGAAGGCUUUCGGGUUGUAAACUUCUUUUCUCAGGGACGAAGAAAGUGACGGUACCUGAGGAAUCAGCCACGGCAAACUACGUGCCAGCCGCCGCGGUAAUACGUAGGUGGCCAGCGUUAUCCGGAUCUAUUGGGUUUAAAGGGUGCGUAGGGGGAUCGUUAAGUCAGUGGGAAAAUUGAGGGGCUCAACCCCUUCCCGCCAUUGAAACUGGCGCUCUUGAGUGGAAGAGAGGUAUGCGGAAUGCGUGGUGUAGCGGUGAAAUGCAUAGAGAUCACGCAGAACCCCGAUUGCGAAGGCAGCAUGCCGGCUUCCGACUGACGCUGAAGCACGAAAGCGUGGGGAUCGAACAGGAUUAGAUACCCGGGUAGUC